CAGCAUCAGCAGCAGCAGCAACAGACACAGCAGGGGGCGCCAAAAGAAGGGCAAUCUCCUCUCAAGUGUAAUAACAUUUCUUGUAAGAGAAAAAUAAGUACACUGGAGAGGAAGAUUGUCCUCCUUAAAGCACAAGUCCACCUAAAACAGAAAACAGAUCCAAAACAAAGUUUUCAAGCCUUUAAGGAAAAAGUAAAGGAGGUCAUACCAAAGAGACUGAAAAAGAAAAAGAAAGCUGCGCAACAUGAAGCAUAAACAGAGGGUGGUUGCCAAGAUGGGUGAAAGGGAGGGAGAGCCUGCCAUGACCAGGGACAGGUCUUACUCUGGGCCUUCAUCUCUAGCCCCUGGAAUGGAAAGAAAAAGGAGGAGGACUCCAAGUGAUUCCAUGCCUGAUGAUUCUGACGAUUAUAGGCCAUCAUGUGCCAGGGCACUCAUGCCAAUAUCUUCAACCAGUGAAUCUGACUCAAAGCUGGCACAGCCGUUGCCCAAAUAGUGCGUAGGUGUGUGCGUGGAUGUGUGUGUGUGCACGUGCAUGCCUGUGAGUGGGUGUGUGUGUGGGUGUGUGCGUGGAUGUGUGUGCGUGGGUGUGUGAGAGUGCAUGUGUGUGUGUGUGUGUGAGAGUGAGAGUGUGACCCGUGUGAGAGAGAGAGAGAGAGACAUGUAUGUGUAAAUUUAGGGUGCAUGUAUUAUUAGUAUUAUUGUGUACGUUUGAGGGGACAUUGUCAGGGCCAGUUAGAAAGCUUUCUCCAACAUAGCAAAGACUUACUGUAUGUUCUCUCUGUUUACAACAUCUUGGCCCACCAUCUCAUCUUCAAGCUUGUUUCUGGUAGCAAUUUAACCCCAAAGGGGAAAUUUAAGUAAAAACAAAACAAAAGAGUCCACGGUCACCAAGACCUGACCGUUAUCACUGAGGAAACAGCUGAUAAACACCAUAACCUUCAUUUAUAAAAUUAUUUUUUAACAGGUCUGAAAUGGAUACCUAUCCUUUUAUGAAUACCAGGUACACCUUUGUGACUACAGAUUACCAUUUUCUAAUGGCCAUUGCCAGCAUGAUGUAUCAGGUCUCAAGUAACCUCAAACUGGUGUCAUUAAUACAGUAUUGAAGCCCAUUUUAUAUUUCAUUUUAUUUUACUUGCUGAUAACAAACUGAACUUGCACAACAUUUGUGGUGUGCAAGAAAAGCCAAUCAUCUGUACUUUUGAAAGAAAAUUGACACAUUUCAGUGUGCACAAAGCAACUGCAAGUUUUCAUCUUCUAUGAUCCUGUACACUCUUAGACUCAGAAUCUCAAAAGAAAGUUUCCAACAUCUAGUGGAAUCCAUGCAACAAAGAACUGACCCGACCCAGUGUUUGUAUUGUCUUGCACAUUAACUGGUCUGUGUAUAUAUGCUGUAUGCUGCCAUGUUGUAUGUUAGGCUUUAUGUUAUAAAGUUCCUGUGGUUUUCCACAUUUUGCAGGUGUGAAAAGGAUGUCCUGUGACUUUUGACUCACCCUGUACAUUACGUUUGAGUGGAAAAAGGGCAAAAUGACUGAAUACUCCAGCUAGUAAUGGUUGAUGAGGCCUAUUUUUUAGGCUAUGUCCAUUUCUCCAGAUAUCCUCAUGCAGGAUAAUAACAAUUGGAUCCAGCUCCUGUUCUACGACUUUUGACUUUACAAACCCCAAAUCAGAAAAAAAUGACAGUAUAUAAACAGCUAAAAGUUUUACUUUUAUUUUAUUUGAUUAAACAGUGAGAUGCAAUUGGCAAAAUUUAGGAUCCAUGCAUUCCCAAGUAACACAAUGUGGAAAUAUAUUUGUUUGUUUUUAGGUGAAUGGUGACAUGUUGUCUGGAUCAGCCACGCCUGAAGUUUGGGUUGUUGUCUUGAAGGUUCCUGAUUUUUUAGAUUUUUUUUUUUGGUUUUUGUUUUUAAACCAACCUAGUCUUUAUUUGCUGCAUGUGUGCUGCACAUGUUAUUACUACAGACAGAUUUUAUGUGGUUGUAUAAAAAUCUGCCGGUGCUCACAUUUAUUGCAUACCUUUUUACAGCCUUGUUAACCUUCACUCAUGCUGACUUUUUUGACUUGUUUUAUUAUUAUUUAGGUGCAAAAAAGAGUGUAACUCAUAUGAAUACAGUUAACUGCUACUACUGCUAUGAUUAAAUAAAUGUGCUUACCUUUUAAAGGGCUUGCUUCGUCUUCAUUUUGUGUUGAACAUGGUUCCAAUAAUUUUCUGGUAAAUUUGUUUAAUGUUUUGACAACUUAAGUAUGAAAAUCAAGUGAAGAUGUUGCUGCUGCCACCAAUUGUCCAUUCCCAUUGCAUGGUACAAGACACAUUAAUUGUAUGACAUCAUAAUUAGGCAAGUACAACAGCAGUAGAAUGCCUGGGAAAUUGGAGCUGCAGUGAC